GGGUACAGCUCAGUGGUGGAGCGCAUGCUUAGCACGCAUGAGGCCCUCCCUGGGUUCAAUCCCCAGGGUCCCCA
rnacentral:tRNA from 1 species